AUUGAACGCUGGCGGCAGGCAUAACACAUGCAAGUCGAACGGUAACAGGGAUCAGCUUGCUGAUUCGCUGACGAGUGGCGGACGGGUGAGUAAUGUCUGGGAAACUGCCUGAUGGAGGGGGAUAACUACUGGAAACGGUAGCUAAUACCGCAUAACGUCGCAAGACCAAAGAGGGGGACCUUCGGGCCUCUUGCCAUCGGAUGUGCCCAGAUGGGAUUAGCUAGUAGGUGGGGUAACGGCUCACCUAGGCGACGAUCCCUAGCUGGUCUGAGAGGAUGACCAGCCACACUGGAACUGAGACACGGUCCAGACUCCUACGGGAGGCAGCAGUGGGGAAUAUUGCACAAUGGGCGCAAGCCUGAUGCAGCCAUGCCGCGUGUAUGAAGAAGGCCUUCGGGUUGUAAAGUACUUUCAGCGGGGAGGAAGGGAGUAAAGUUAAUACCUUUGCUCAUUGACGUUACCCGCAGAAGAAGCACCGGCUAACUCCGUG
rnacentral:rRNA from 1 species